GAUCAAAGCAGCUGAGAAAAGAGAGAAAGAGUCCAAGAGGUUUGCACAGAGAGGCGACCGCGUGCGUGCGUGCAGCUGUGUGCAGCUCUCUUCACCGGGGACAGAGCCUUCUUGAGGAGCAUCUGGAAUGAAUGAGAUGUAAAUAUUUACAGGCCUGGAUUGUAAGGUCAAGAAGGAGGUUCCCAUCCCAGAAGGCUGCUGAACCUCUGGGGAGAGAAGGGGACGCCCAGCCUCUGCACAGUGUGGGAAGGAUGCAAUGAUGAUGGGAGGGGAUGGGGCUGUGCUGGGAUCGCCCCGUUUGCUCUGGGUUCUGCGUCUUCUAAACAAGGCCUCCAUUCCCUUCCUUUGCAUCAUAUUCGUCUAGAUAACAGACCAGUCUCGGACGAGACCACCACCACCCAUAAGGAGGAGAACCAAAGGACCAAAUACUGUCUUUGGAAACCCAGACUUCAAGGGACAACAGCACAGAAAGAAAAGGUGAGAGACUGGACAGAACAACCUAGCUCUUUCUGCAGGACCUCAAGCUGAAAUUCUGCUUGUGGUCACCAAAAUUUCUCCUCUUGCCUCUAUCUUCCAUUCUGCUCUUUGGUUCGCUCUAGCCAAAGUGAGGAAAAGACAGCACAACUAAACAGGUACACAGGCAUCCUGAAUCAAAUCCUUGUUAAUUUAGCCUUUUAAAUUCUGACUCAUAUAUUGACCCUGUGAUUGUGUUCCAAAACUAAGCACAUUCUUGUGUCUUCUGCUCUGGUGCUAACGAAACUUAGCUCUACUCAGCUUCUACAUCAGAGGGGACUGGCAUGUUCAGAAUAUUUUCAGGGGAUGCUCAGAAAGAAAGGGGGAGAAAAGCUCAUGAUUCAGGACUGAUAGUAUGCUGCAGUACUCUCUUUUCCUUCUCUUGGAAAAGGAAAGCUGCCACCCGCUACGAGUCCCGGAAGGGCUCCUUCCCAAAAUUUCCUAAGUCUGUCCCACUCUGAACUAGUCUGUGCACACAGAGCAGGUGGGUUGACUGGAUCUGUGUGCACAGAUCAGACUGGACUCUAUAGAUUGAGGCUGCCAGUGGAAGAUACUGGGGGGUUGGUUGGUCCCUCUUUUGAGUAUACAUACACCCACCUGGCCCUACUCCUGGAAGUUAAAACCUAUCACAUCAGGGAGAAAGAUUCUAGCUCAGUACAUGCCUUAUUCUAAUUAAUGAGUAGAUCAGACCUUAAGUACUAUUCCUUGGUAGAUACAUUCUGUUGAAUAUCCAUAGCCCAAGUUUCCAUGCAAGUAAAUUUUACAGGAUCAGAAACUUAUUUUUCAGUGGGAAAUUAUUGAAACCAAGUUCUCUUUCACGUUAGGACUACAAGCCAAAAGUAUGUCUGUGAGUAGAUUGAGAUUGUGCAGAACUGUGUGAAUUGUUAGUUGAAGAGAAGUUGUUUCAUUUAUUUUGUGGUAACUGAAUGUCAGGACUGAAAUUUUUGCCAUCGUGUUUUAUAGGUCCUCAGAGAGAGAGAAAGAGAGAGAGGAGAGAGAGACAGAGACAGAGAGA
rnacentral:lncRNA from 1 species